rnacentral:rRNA from 1 species
CCCUUAGAUGUUCUGGGCUGCACGCGCGCUACACUGAUGCAUCCAACGAGUUUUUGACCUGAGCCGAUAGGCCUAGGUAAUCUUGUGAGUAUGCAUCGUGAUGGGGAUAGAUUAUUGCAAUUAUUAAUCUUCAACGAGGAAUGCCUAGUAGGCGCGAGUCAACAGCUCGUGCCGAUUACGUCCCUGCCCUUUGUACACACCGCCCGUCGCUCCUACCGAUUGAAUGCUCAGGUGAGCCAUUCGGACUUUCAUCAUGCUGGUUUCCAGUUUUGAUGAAGGAAAGUCUUGCGAACCUUAUCAUUUAGAGGAAGGAGAAGUCGUAACA